rnacentral:lncRNA from 1 species
UCCACCAGCAGGUCGGGGCCGUCGCAGCCAGCCCAGGUCAGGGCCUGCUCGGUGCACCACCAGUACUCCUCCAGGGUCUCGCCCUUCCAGGCGAACACGGCGGCGGAGUCGCGGGCGAUGGCGGCAGCGGCGUGGUCCUGGGUGGAGAAGAUGUUGCACGAGCACCAGCGGACCUCAGCGCCCAGGGCGGUCAGGGUCUCAAUCAGCACGGCGGUCUGGAUGGUCAUGUGCAGAGAGCCGGUAAUCUUGGCACCCUUGAAGGGCUGGGCGGGGCCGAACUCGGAGCGGCACGCCAUCAGACCGGGCAUCUCAGCCUCGGCCAGGUCGAUCUCCAGGCGACCGAAGUCAGCCUCGGCGAUGUCCUUCACCUUGUACUGUGGGUGGGAAAGAAUAAUAGCGGGCACGCGAGGUAAAUUGGCAGCUUCCAGCAAGCAGAUCAGUUGCCGGCGGAGAAGCGCGCGCGAAGUGACCCCAGCGUAGACCACCAAUUCAGAGUAAGCGAAGCAGUGCCGCUUGUGCAAUUGAGCACUUGCAACCCAGAAAUGCCCCGGUUGCCGGUGGGAGCGAAUAUGAUCGAGUGCUCAACAAACACAAGCCCGGACAACGGGCACUCGAGCGCACAGCGCUCCAAGUAGCUACUUCUUAUGCGCCUAUAUGCAUCUAGCUUGGGAAAGGCUAUGCGGCGGCCGGUGCCGAGGAUCUUUGCGCACC